UCUACAAGGAACUUCACAAAGAAGAGUGAUGUCUACAGCUAUGGAGUGUUGCUCUUUGAACUUAUAGCUGGCAGAAAUCCUCAACAAGGUCUCAUGGAACAUGUUGAACUCGCAGCAAUGAAUACUGAGGGGAAAGUGGGGUGGGAGGAAAUCGUGGAUUCUCGUCUAGAUGGGAAAUUUGAUGUGCAGGAGCUGAAUGAGGUGGGGACUCUUGCAUAUAAAUGUAUCAACCGUGUACCCAAAAAACGGCCUUCCAUGAGGGACAUCGUGCAAGUACUCACACGGAUUAUCAAACUGAGGCACAAUGGAAGGCAUUAUCACAGAAGGUCCCUUUCGGCCACAGCGGAUGAGGUUUCCAUCGAUUUGGACCAACCAGAAAUCAAGACUCCAGUCUCCGAGUGCC
rnacentral:misc_RNA from 1 species